rnacentral:rRNA from 2 species
CUUUUAUUAUGAGAGUUUGAUCCUGGCUCAGGACGAACGCUGGCGGCGUGCCUAAUACAUGCAAGUCGAACGCUUCUU